GGAUUAGAUACCCUAUUAUUUUUAUUGUAAAGUGAAUUAAGCUGGAGUAGUAAUAGUUAUGAUCUUUAAACUUAAAGAAUUUGGCGGUAUUAUAAUCUAUUUAGAGGAAUCUGUUAUGUAAUCGAUAAUCCACGUUGAACCUUACUUAUGUUAUAUUCUUGUAUACCGCUGUUUAGAAUAUAUUUUUAGAUUAUUUUCUGGAUAAUAGAAUUUAUUAAAAUUUCAAGUCAAGGUGCAGUAAUACGUAAGUUGAAUAAUGGAUUACAAUAAAUUUUAUUUAUCAUGAAUUGUUAUUGAAAUAUAAUAUUGAAGGUGGAUUUAAUUGUAAUUUUUUAAAUAUUGUAAAAAUGAUUUUAGCUCUAUAAUGUGUACACAUCGCCCGUCACUCUCGUUAUAAGACGAGAUAAGUC
rnacentral:rRNA from 1 species